GCAGUCGAGGGGUAGAAGUCUUCGGGCUUUGAGACCGGCGCACGGGUGCGUAACGCGUAUGCAAUCUGCCUUGUACAAAGGGAUGGCCCAGAGAAAUUUGGAUUAAUACCUUAUAGUAUAUUGAUGUGGCAUCACAUUAAUAUUAAAGAUUUAUCGGUACAAGAUGAGCAUGCGUCCCAUUAGCUAGUUGGUAUGGUAACGGCAUACCAAGGCAAUGAUGGGUAGGGGUCCUGAGAGGGAGAUCCCCCACACUGGUACUGAGACACGGACCAGACUCCUACGGGAGGCAGCAGUGAGGAAUAUUGGACAAUGGGCGCAAGCCUGAUCCAGCCAUGCCGCGUGCAGGAUGAAGCAUCUAUGGUGUGUAAACUGCUUUUAUACGGGAAGAAACCCUGGCUCGUGAGCCAGAUUGACGGUACCGUAGGAAUAAGGAUCGGCUAACUCCGUGCCAGCAGCCGCGGUAAUACGGAGGAUCCAAGCGUUAUCCGGAAUCAUUGGGUUUAAAGGGUCCGUAGGCGGUUUUAUAAGUCAGUGGUGAAAUCCGGUAGCUCAACUAUCGAACGGCCAUUGAUACUGUAGAACUUGAAUUAUUGUGAAGUAACUAGAAUAUGUAGUGUAGCGGUGAAAUGCUUAGAUAUUACAUGGAAUACCAAUUGCGAAGGCAGGUUACUAACAAUACAUUGACGCUGAUGGACGAAAGCGUGGGGAGCGAACAGGAUUAGAUACCCUGGUAGUCCACGCCGUAAACGAUGGAUACUAGCUGUUCGGUAGCAAUACUGAGUGGCUAAGCGAAAGUGAU
rnacentral:rRNA from 1 species